rnacentral:lncRNA from 1 species
GUGACAUCACUCUUGUCCCUGUUCUGUCCUGCAAUUAUCUUCCUCACAGAUAACAUUCUGGGAAUGCUCAAUCCAUGCAUAAGCAGAAGUGUGGCAGAGGCCUGAACUGAAAUAGCUACAGAAUUAGCUUGUCAUUUACGUAACAUCUUUAAAUAAUCUUUCCUAGGGUCACGAUGGUCCGUAGUGGGAAAAACGGUGACCUUCAUCUUAAACAGAUCGCGUACUAUAAGCGCACAGGCGAGUACCACCCGACCACACUGUCGAGUGAGAGAAGCGGCAUCAGAAGGGCGGCUAAGAAAUUUGUCUUCAAAGAAAAAAAGCUGUUUUAUGUUGGAAAAGACAGAAAACAAAAUCGUUUGGUAGUUGUUUCGGAAGAGGAAAA